AAGGGUUGCCGAUUUCCUCUUAUCGUUGCGUAUAUAGACAAGAUUAACUGAUGGCUUCACAAUCAGGCAGAGCUAGAUUCAAAUGCCUACUCGCCAACGCCCAGCUUGGGCUGGCUCCCGUUCUUUCUGUGUCUCGGUUUCCAUGUUUGUAAAAUGGUGAUAAUAAUAGUAUCUACCUCAGAGACGUGUGCCUCAGAGGCGUGUGCUGUAUAUUAGUGCGUAUAACUAACGAAUGCAAAGUAAUAUAAUAUAAUACGCUUAAUAACUUAAUAUGAAGCCUGACUCCGGAAGAUAUUAGCUGUUAUUAUGGAGAGAAAAAAACGCGUAAUAGAGAAAGAAAACAUAAAUUAUGUAAAGUCGUUCAUUAUAGUGUUUUUCCUGCCCAUCAUCUCCUCCCCUAGAAGAAAUUCGAGAUAUAAAAGAGACGUAUCAGUUUUUACCGAUGGAAUAGUUUAUUUGGGAAUUGCCUCAAAAUAGCGGGGAUUGGAAUUUUCCAUAUUGAAAAGUUUAAAAAAAAAGCGGCGGGGGGGAUGGGGGUGGGGAGAGAUGGAGAAUGAGCGAGCUGGAGAUGAACCACAUGCGAUGAGUAGGCCUUGUUUGGAUCCUGAUUCGGACACAUUAACUAUAUUUUUUUAAAAAACUGUUUAAGAUGCAUCGGGAUAUUUUGAAGUCGUAUUCAAAUUCGAUUUUUUGGGGGAAAUUGAUGACGAUGUUUUAGACGUUAAAAUGGUAUUGUGGUUAUGGUUUCAAAUUGUCUUUAGCUUGUAGCAAUAUAUAUGAAAAUACGGAUUAAAUAGUAAAAUGUCUGAGAUUGGCUUCAAAAUAUGUUGAUAUCUAUGAUUUGCUUCAAAAUAAUCUCAGCGGUAGGGGGACGUGGGGAGGGGUAUAGAUGAAACCAAAUUGGCCCUAAGUUAAUCGUUUAAGCUGAGUGAUGGGCAUAUAUGAUUUCUUAAAUUAUACUGGCUUUCUUGGUAUAUGUUUGAAAUUUUCCAUAAUAAAAUACAGAAAGUCAGCUAUUCACUGAGCUUGAAAAAAACGGAGUGGGGGGGGAGCAGUGGGUGGGGUUAUAGAUAAAACAAGAUGGCCUUCAGUUGGUAAUUGUUGAAGCUGGAGGAUAGAUUCGCAUAGGCUUAUAAUAUUAUUCCCUCUACAUUUUUAUCCAUUUGCAAUUAUCCUUAAUUAAAAUUUUUUAAAGGCAAAAACAAACUAGUUUAUCAGAAAUCAGGGUAAAUUAGUUUAUCAGAAAUAAGGUAAAUUUGAAAAUGUAACCAUAAGAAAGGAAAAAACACUUGUACGUUAUUUGUCAUCUUUGGUGUCCUUUGUGUGUGAAAAAAAUGCAUUGAUGGAGAAGAAAACCUUCAUCUCAUAUCUUUUUAUUUUGUGUCCUUUCCUGUCCCCUUGUUUGACCUUCUAGGCUACCAUCAAAAAAGCUAAGUUUGCUGUAUAGUAAGGAUCAGAAGAUCUGAUCCUGAUUGCAGAACAUUGCUGAUUACAGAAUCUUGGGUUGUGUCUCCCACCUCAUCUUUCCCUACCAUCCCAGAAGAUCUAUAAGGUUCCAUCUGGGAAAACACUAGAAGUUCUUGGAAGGGAAAGAAGGAAGAGGAUUACUGGUUGGAAUAAAAACAGGGUUGAAUGAGUUCCAGAAAGCAGGGUUCUCAAACUCGUGGACAACAAUCUGCAGAAGAAGACAACUUCAAAAAACCAACUAGAAGCAAUAUGCAGAGAAGUAAGAUGAGAGGAGCCUCCUCAGGAAAGAAGACCGCUGGUCCACAGCAGAAGAAUCUGGAAGCAGCACUCCCCGGCAGGUGGGGGGGUCGCUCUGCAGAGACCCCCCCUUCGGGGUCCGUGAGGAAGACCAGAAAGAACAAACAGAAGACCCCUGGAAAUGGAGAUGGUGGCAGUACCAGCGAAGCACCUCAGCCACCUCGGAAGAAAAGGGCCCGGGCUGACCCCACUGUGGAAAGUGAGGAGGCAUUUAAGAAUAGAAUGGAAGUGAAAGUGAAGAUUCCUGAAGAAUUAAAACCAUGGCUAGUUGAGGACUGGGACUUAGUUACCAGGCAGAAGCAGCUCUUUCAACUCCCUGCUAAGAAAAAUGUAGAUGCCAUUCUGGAAGAGUACGCAAAUUGCAAGAAAUCACAGGGAAAUGUUGAUAAUAAGGAGUAUGCGGUUAAUGAAGUUGUGGCAGGAAUAAAAGAGUAUUUCAAUGUGAUGUUGGGCACUCAGCUGCUCUAUAAAUUUGAGAGGCCCCAGUAUGCCGAAAUCCUCUUGGCUCACCCUGAUGCGCCCAUGUCCCAGGUUUAUGGGGCACCACACCUACUGAGAUUAUUUGUGAGAAUUGGAGCAAUGUUGGCAUAUACGCCCCUUGAUGAGAAGAGCCUUGCAUUAUUGUUGGGCUAUCUGCAUGAUUUCCUAAAAUACCUGGCAAAGAAUGCUGCGUCUCUGUUUACUGCCAGUGAUUAUAAAGUGGCUUCUGCUGAGUACCACCGCAAAGCCCUGUGAGGGUCUCCUGACCGCUCGCUGUUAUGUCUGGUAUCUGUAAACACUCUUUUUGUUCUUAGUCUUUUUCUUGUAUAAUUGAUGUUCUUUAAAAUUGUUCAUGUAUAACAGGGCUUAUGUUUCAGUUUGUUUUCUGUUUUAUUCUAAACAGAAAAUAAAAGGAGUGCAAGCUCCUUUUCUCAUUUCAAAGUUGCUACCAGUGUACACAGUAAUUAGACAAAGAAGAAACAUUCAGUAGAACAUUUUAUUGCCUAGUUGACAACAUUGCUUGAAUGCUGGUGGUUCUAUCCCUUUGACACUACACAAUUUUCUAAUAUGUGUUAAUGCUAUGUGGAAAAAUGCCCUGAUUCCUAGUGCCAAAGGUUCAACUUAAUGUAUAUACCUGAAAACCCAUGCAUUUGUGCUCUUUUUUUUUUAUGGUGCUUGAAGUAAAACAGCCCAUCCUCUGCAAGUCCAUCUCUGUUGUUCCUUAGGCAUUCUAUCUUUGCUCAAAUUGUUGAAGGAUGGUGGUUUGUUUCAUGGUUUUUGUAUUUGAGUCUAAUGCACGUUCUAACAUGAUAGGGGCAAUGCAUUAUUGUGUAGCCACGGUUUUCUGGAGAAGUUGAUAUUUUAGGAAUUGUAUUUCAGAUCUUAAAUAAAAUUUGUUUCUAAAUUUCAAA
rnacentral:lncRNA from 1 species